CCAAAGAGCUGUUGUGAGCAUCUUUGGUUUAUAGUGUGAAGAGCUAUCAGAUCCUUGUUGUAAGUGGGUUUGCUAGGUGGCACCUUACAGAAAAGCAGACAGAGCUGUCACGCAGAGGCCCUUGGUAGGGAAAGGGUUUGGGAACUGGACUGUGAUAUAGCUGUUGACCUGGGCAGAUCUGGGGCGCGGGAGUUGGAGACCCCACAUGCGGAUUGCGGACUCUGUUGCCCUCUUGUGGGGGAAAGGUAGAACUUCAGGGGUGUGUGUGUGUGUGUGUGUGUGUGUGUGUGUAUCCUCAGACUAAGCCUGUGGGCAAUACUGAGAGCAUCAGGGAAAGAAAUGGUGACUGGAGCAAUCAGAGAGACGGAGAUAGGAAGCAGCAUGGGAGGGAAGGGGGACUGGGAUGGGGGCCAUGCCCCACCCCACCCCCGGACCCAGGGUCCCUCCUCACCAGGGUCACAUUGCACCAGUCAACGCGGAAGUGGGGUGCCAAGGUGUCGUAGCAAGACAGAAGUGGAGGCUGGCCCUGGGCACAGCGGGCGUGGCUAUCGGGGGAUGCCACCAUCUUCAGGCAAGUAGAAAAAGGAAGUCCUCUAGGGUUGCACACCUACCCUUCUUUUCGGCCCUCAAUGGGAAGGGGGACACGGCCCCCACGGUCCAAGGCAGAGGUGACGUUGAGCAGCUGAAGCUCUCCGGGCUCCCAGAGUCCCCCCAAGGCUGAGAGGAAGCGGCUGGCAGGUGUUGAGGGCAGCACCUCCUCCGCAUCGUGGCUGCGCACCAGGAACUCGGCUUGGUAUGGCAGCAGGGGGCCUGGGAAGGCCAGGUGGACACCUCAGGCUGCACCCAGCCCCAGCUCUGCCCCGCAAAGCCUCCUUGAAGCUCCUCCCCACAUCCCUGCACACCCCUUCAGGCCCCUCAAUGCCCCAUCCAUCACAGACCCCAACAAGCCAAGUCCCAAUAGUCUCUGCAACGCAGCGAGUAACAGAACUCCAGAGCCUGGAAUCCCAGCCCAGCACCCAUUCCCUGAGAGCCUUGUCCCCACUUUCCAGGAUGCCCUGCUCCACUCCUCUCCAAGCCUCUCCUGUCCACAGCCCCCUCCCCCUCCGGGAGAGAUUCCCCAAGACUGGCAUUGGUGGGGAAGGGAUGGGGCACAGCUAGAGGUACCUUCUGGGUCCCCAAUCUCCAGCACCAGCCUCUGCCGAGUGGUAUCAAAGCUGUCCCGAUUGUAGGCUGUGACCUGGGGGAUGGGAAAGACAUCUGAGAAGUGGGUUAGGGGAGAAACGUGGCACAGCGGGGGCCUGGCAGGAGAGGACUCAGAUACCAAAUUAGAGGUAUGUAAAUUAUAUGUAAAUGACUGUGAAUGAGCACCCAAUCCCAAUUCAUAGGGCUGCUCCUAGGAGGCCACUCUGGCCCACCCCUGUGAUUUUCUCAGGGUCCCUGACGGCACCUCAAUGACCUGGAGCCCACGAUCUUCUGGGGUGGCAGAGCCGUAGAGGAAGCCAGGGUGGUGGGGGCUGCGCUGGGUGUAGCGGAGCCACCGGGGCAGGUCUGGGUGUCCCUGGAGGUGGGCGUGGUAGGUGAUGUGGACAGCGGGUGGGACAGCUGGUGGAAGCGAGGAGAGGGGAUUCGAGUCACAGCAGGAGCCCUGCGGGGUACACCCCAGCCCGCCCGCCUGGGUGCCUGUCAGGCCGCUCACCGACAUGCUCAGGAAGGCUCAGAAACGUCUCAUGGUCCAAGGUGUGCACAAAGACACGGCCCACAAGUGGGUGUAGCGUGGUCUGCUGGGCCUCGGUGUCCCCCAGCCCUGCCAGGAGAACUGUGGGGACCCCACAAGUCCCAAACACACAGGCCAGCCUCAGUCCUGGGCAGGGGAUAAGCUCCCUUCCCCACCAAGUCCUUGGAGCCCCUAAGGGACCGAGAGAAGCGCUUCCUUUGCUGCCUCCCAGGAAGGGAUUGGGGUGGGGA
rnacentral:lncRNA from 1 species